rnacentral:tRNA from 1 species
UAUUUAAAUAAUUUAAUUAUAAAAUAUUGAUUUGUGGUGUCAAAAAUAUGAAGGGUUCAUUUUAAAUU